rfam:Corynebacterium epidermidicanis strain DSM 45586, complete genome.
UCCAGGAUCCCGUGUGGCGAUUAUCUUGUGAACUCCCCCAGGGCAGGAAUGCAGCAAGGGUCAGCGAGCUCUGUCGGGUGCGCGGGGUCCCCUUAACUC